rnacentral:rRNA from 1 species
GACGAACGCUGGCGGCGUGCUUAACACAUGCAAGUCGAACGAAGAGCGAUGGAAGCUUGCUUCUAUCAAUCUUAGUGGCGAACGGGUGAGUAACGCGUAAUCAACCUGCCCUUCAGAGGGGGACAACAGUUGGAAACGACUGCUAAUACCGCAUACGAUCUAAUCUCGGCAUCGAGGAUGGAUGAAAGGUGGCCUCUAUUUAUAAGCUAUCACUGAAGGAGGGGAUUGCGUCUGAUUAGCUAGUUGGAGGGGUAACGGCCCACCAAGGCGAUGAUCAGUGGCCGGUCUGAGAGGAUGAACGGCCACAUUGGGACUGAGACACGGCCCAGACUCCUACGGGAGGCAGCAGUGGGGAAUCUUCCGCAAUGGACGAAAGUCUGACGGAGCAACGCCGCGUGAGUGAUGACGGCCUUCGGGUUGUAAAGCUCUGUUAAUCGGGACGAAAGGCCUUCUUGCGAAUAGUUAGAAGGAUUGACGGUACCGGAAUAGAAAGCCACGGCUAACUACGUGCCAGCAGCCGCGGUAAUACGUAGGUGGCAAGCGUUGUCCGGAAUUAUUGGGCGUAAAGCGCGCGCAGGCGGAUUGAUCAGUCUGUCUUAAAAGUUCGGGGCUUAACCCCGUGAUGGGAUGGAAACUGCCAAUCUAGAGUAUCGGAGAGGAAAGUGGAAUUCCUAGUGUAGCGGUGAAAUGCGUAGAUAUUAGGAAGAACACCAGUGGCGAAGGCGACUUUCUGGACGAAAACUGACGCUGAGGCGCGAAAGCCAGGGGAGCGAACGGGAUUAGAUACCCCGGUAGUCCUGGCCG